rnacentral:lncRNA from 1 species
GAUACAAAAUGGUGUUGAUCAUCAAUUUAGAUUCCCAUCUUUUGAAGCAUUUGAUUUGUAGUGCGAACUUCCUUCUUACUGUCCUCUAAGGGUACGUUUGGUUCGAGUUAUGUAAUAUUACAGAGUAUUUCAACAUAUUCAGAUAUUUUGGAUUUCGGCGUGAGAUUACUACUGAUGCUGCAUUAGCGCGUUUGGUUUAAUGCAGUAAUGUAAUACUGGAUUGCAGUAUUUAUAGUAUUACUACGUUUGGUUCAGUUUAUAAAAUUUAGUAAUCCUGACAUAAAAAUAUAAUUUUUUUUUAAAUUAUCCUUGUUGUGGUCAUUUGAAUAUUAUUUUUUACUAAAAUAUAAUUUGCACUAGUACAUUAAUUAUAUUAAAAAGUAAUAAAAUAAAAAGACCAAACAUGAAAAAAAAAAUUAACGUUGCAAAAAAUUAAUUUCAACCCAUAAAAAAAUAAAUAGAAAAAAAGAUCAUUAUGCAUAAAAGAAUAAAUAGGUGUUCGUGCAAGAGAGAGAGAGAGAAAGAGAUAGAGAGCGAGAGAGAGCGGCGUGCGAGAGAGAGAGCGAGAGAGAGUGGCGUGCGAGAGAGAAAGGGGGGAGGGCGUGAGAGAGAGAUGAAAACAAUAUUGUUAAUUGGGUUUGGGGGUAUUGGAGAGUAAAAUUGUCAUUUUACAUAAUAUAUAGUAUUACCGGUUUUCAGUAAUGCAAGAUAUACGACCCCUCUCUCGUUAAUAUUUUCGGUGUAAUCCUACUCGAUUUGUAAUGCUACAUUAACGACUAGAUUAUAUAACGGAUGAACCAAACACAGUAAUUCUGGCAGGAUUACUUGUAAUCCUGUCAGGAUAACUCGAACCAAACGCACCCUAAGCUUAAUCAAU